CCCACAUAAAGUGGGUAUGCCUCUUUAAGAAACUGAGGUUAAGGAGGCUGGUGGUCUACUUGGCCAAUGGGAAGCAUAGUUCCCAAAGUGUAUGAACCAAUCAGAAUGCAGACUACCGUUGUGGGUCUCGCCCUUCUCUCCCAGGUCUGCAGCACUGUUGGUUUGCGGGAGAGAUUCGACGUACUGAGACUGCUGAGCUGCGCAGCAUAAGAGUAUGUAUUGAGACAGUUAACGUAUUAUAUACAAACUAUAUUAUAUACGAACUGCAAACAAACUCUUUGUGUAAACAGAUUUGCUGUUUGAUCAUCCAACUUCUUAGCUGGAAAACAUUGGAGUAUAAAGACUGAACUUCAGUUACUGCCGUUGGAGCCGUUAGCUCUUUCUGGCAGUUGGUUUGCCUUAUUCUCCGUCCAGCUAGAGUGCCCCACGCAUCCAGACUGGGAGCCUCUAUACAGUUGUCCCAAACGUUUCGCAUUGAGAUUGGUCAGGUUUUUUUUGUUUUGCUGGAUUGUUCCUGAGGUGGAUUCAUCCGAUGACCUUGAUGGCGAGCCUUCCCACCUGGACAUAGAGAAAGAACCGGAUUUCGUCUUUCCUAUUUGGAGUCCUGCUGCACCCUGCGGUGUGGUAGGCGUGUUAACACUCACAUCUUCACACACAGUUGCUUAUGUGUGAUACCACUGACUGACAUUUUUCAUUCUUAUUAUUUUAUCUUGGAAUUUUGGACAUUACCUUUUGGACCGGUUUUAAUUUCAGACAUAACAAACUGCUGUGGUGGAAAUUCUUCUCCUGUGAAUGAUGUUGAGUUAAAUCUGAAUUGGAAAGUAAUUUGAUUAAUCUUUUGACUAAUGCAUUUUAGAGUACGGAUUACCAGGGUGCACCCAACAGAUUUGAAAUUGAGAGUUAGCACUUGGCCAAGUAUUAUUGUUAUUAAUUGUAUGUUUAUAAUUGUGUGUCUUGUAAAUCUGUCAAUGUUAUGUUUUAUGUCACUAAAGCCAGUUAUUCGUUAAAUCCA